rnacentral:lncRNA from 1 species
CUGCCAAGCCGGAAGAGCCUUCUCAGUGGGUGUCUCUCAGAGGAAAGAACAGAUGUGUGACCUGAAAUGAACUGGUUUUGGGGUGAAAGCCUCUGGUGUCGCUGGCACCUGCUGCCUGCAAACAGUACCUGUGAGCUGCUGUUGCCCAGUGAACAGAUGUCACAGGGAGAUUCUGUAGGUCACUAAAUGUUCAUAGACUGAUCAGCUUAGGAGACAUCCUGUAAGGUGUCUCACCUGGCUUGAGGUGGUCAAGACCCUGAGACGCCCUAGAAAUGAAAGACACUUCUCAGAUGUCUCUGCCAGCUCCAACUCUACCAGCUCCAGUGCUCUAGGCUGAAGUGCUUCUGGAUAAAGCCUUCUGGACCUUCACUUUCCUGCUCUUCCCACAUUUAUGUAAGCCCUAAUUUCUGUAUUAAACUAUUUUCCCUAAAAAACUUGUAGUGGUUCUAU